CGUAGGGUGCAAGCGUUAAUCGGAAUUACUGGGCGUAAAGCGUGCGCAGGCGGUGAUGUAAGACAGAUGUGAAAUCCCCGGGCUCAACCUGGGAACUGCAUUUGUGACUGCAUCGCUGGAGUGCGGCAGAGGGGGAUGGAAUUCCGCGUGUAGCAGUGAAAUGCGUAGAUAUGCGGAGGAACACCGAUGGCGAAGGCAAUCCCCUGGGCCUGCACUGACGCUCAUGCACGAAAGCGUGGGGAGCAAACAGGAUUAGAUACCCUGGUAGUCCACGCCCUAAACGAUGUCAACUGGUUGUUGGGUCUUCACUGACUCAGUAACGAAGCUAACGCGUGAAGUUGACCGCCUGGGGAGUACGGCCGCAAGGUUG
rnacentral:rRNA from 1 species